rnacentral:rRNA from 1 species
CAGUCGCCACGGUAAUACGUAGGGUGCGAGCGUUAAUCGGAAUUACUGGGCGUAAAGCGUGCGCAGGCGGUUGUGUAAGACAGGUGUGAAAUCCCCGGGCUUAACCUGGGAACUGCGCUUGUGACUGCACAGCUAGAGUAUGGCAGAGGGGGGUGGAAUUCCACGUGUAGCAGUGAAAUGCGUAGAGAUGUGGAGGAACACCGAUGGCGAAGGCAGCCCCCUGGGCCAAUACUGACGCUCAUGCACGAAAGCGUGGGAAGCAGACAGGAUUAGAUACCCCCGUAGUCCCUGUCUCUUAUAC